AUGAUCUUCACCACGGCUGUGCCAACAUGUGUCUUGCUAAUCCAGACAGGUCUUGUUGGAGGUGAUUCCUUGAAGCAACUCUUCUCCCAAGUGUCAGCUACAGUUGGGCAGCGAGUGGUUCUGCCCUGCCAGGCCACCACCAAGGACAGUGUCAACACUUUGACUUUCUCCUGGUACCGUCAGCCCAGGGGGCAAACACCCAAAUUCAUCCUGCAGGCAUUUAAAAUUUCAGAGAAUGACAAGUUCCGCGAAGACCAAUUCUCUGUGGUGGUCUAUGGAAAUAAAACAGCCCCCUUAGAAAUUGCAACUGUCUCUCUCCAGGACACUGCAACUUAUUACUGUGGUGUAAAGUUCAGGAUUGGCAGAGACCAGAUCAGUGCAAGGGACUAA